rnacentral:rRNA from 1 species
UGACAACUUUCAGCGACGGAUAUCUCGGCUCAAACAACGAUGAAGGGCGCAGCGAAGUGUGAUAAGCAUUGUGAAUUGCAGAUUUCCGUGAGUCAAUAGAAACCUGAACGCAUUCUGCGCUUUCGGGAUAUUCCUGAAAGCAUGCCUGCUUCAGUGUCUACUUUCUUCUGCCAG